GCUUUACUGUAGCCUGGAAUGGUGUUCGGGCUUUGCUUGCGCAGAAUAGGUGGGAGGCAAUGAUUCACUCCUUGUGGGGAGUGAGGAGCCGCAAUGUGAGAUACCACUCUGGCGAGGCUAGAAUUCUAACCCGCGACCGUUAUCCGGUCGGGGAACAGUUUCAGGUGGGCAGUUUGACUGGGGCGGUCGCCUCCUAAAGUGUAACGGAGGCGCGCAAAGGUUCCCUCAGGCUGGUUGGAAAUCAGCCGCAGAGUGUAAAGGCAAAAGGGAGCUUGACUGCAAGAGUGACAACUCGCGCAGGGUGGAAACACGGCCUUAGUGAUCCGACGGUAGUGAGUGGAAGCGCCGUCGCUCAACGGAUAAAAGUUACUAUAGGGAAAACCAGGCUGAA
rnacentral:rRNA from 1 species